rnacentral:snRNA from 1 species
AUCACUUCUUGGCCUUUUGGCUAAAAUCCACUGUAGUAUCUGUUCUUAUCAGUUUAAGAAGGGAAGGGGGAAAAAUAGUUACAGAGAGGGAGGGAGACAAACCAUAAGAGACUCUUAAAUAUCUUAAAUACAGAGAACAAAC